AUACGGAGGGGGCUAGCGUUGUUCGGAAUUACUGGACGUAAAGCGUACGUAGGCGGACUGAUCAGUUGGGGGUGAAAUCCCAGGGCUUAACCCUGGAACUGCCUUCAAUACUGUCAGUCUUGAGAUUGGAAGAGGUGAGUGGAAUUCCUAGUGUAGAGGUGAAAUUCAUAGAUAUUAGGAGGAACACCAGUGGCGAAGGCGGCUCACUGGUCCAAUACUGACGCUGAGGUACGAAAGCGUGGGGAGCAAACAGGAUUAGAUACCCCAGUAGUCC
rnacentral:rRNA from 1 species